UGUUUCUUAUGUCUAUGUCAGGUUCUAAAUAAUUUUGUGUUCAAGAAGGAUGUCUCAACACAAUGAUGCCCACAUGCUCUGUCAAUCAUGGUGUGUAGGAGUGCGAACAAAAAAUGCAGAUAGCCUGCAAGUUGUGAUCUGAAACAAGGCACUGCAUGCUCAGCUUUGCUCGUGACAAUGGUCGAGCAAAAGUUUCAUGCCCUCUGGUGCCAAGAUUUUUCCUCGCAUUGCCGUGACGACAAAAGAUUAUUAGUGCGUUCUCUACUGACAUGGCAACGUGGAUCAUUCCUACUGCCGUUCAGUGGCCCUCUGAGCUUAUACGGGGUUGUACUGGUAGCAGCUUCUGAUACUAAACUUGCAUCGUUAGCAUUGCUUUUUUGCUCUCGUAACUGUCUCUGCUUCCCCUUUGAUGAGCAGAGCAAGGAAUGAAUAAAGUGGCAGUUCAGCUGCAUAUGACAGUGGAGCGCUUUUACCCUUCCCCUCCAGAUGCAUUUUUUUUAUCACCUUCUACUCCAUGGAGGCACUAUGCUUGUUGAAGUGUGCAAGUUCUGCUUGAGCUACUCAACAUAAUUUAAUGCACUAGUUCUAUGUGCUAUUAAGGGGGUGGAGAAAAUGAUUUGUGGGUGUUAUAUAACCUUGUCAAGGCCAAAUAGCCAAUUGCUCGGUUUCUAGUUUUUACCCAGAUCUCUAACAAAAUAUGCGGUAAUGGAUUACCGGCAAAUAAUGAACCGAAAAUUGUUAUUACACAAGCAGUAACUUCUGUUUGCAGUCUUACAAGUAAUGUAGCACUGCCAAAUUAACAUGCAUGUUUACCAAUGCCAAAUUGCAGUUAGCUGCAAGGAAUUCCAUGUAUGAGGCGUUUACAGAGCAGGAAAAAGGAAGCACAUAAUCCUCCGCAUGUUGGAUGCUCUGUAUAGUUUGCUGUACAAUUUUGUCUAUAAAUAGUUAGGUUCACUAUGUUGAAAACAUGCAAUUCCUGGAAUGCCUGCUAGAAUUUUUUUUAUUCAGAAGAGAGAUCCAUAGGUUGUAGGUCAACCAAUCUCAGUAAUCUGAUUUUUGUUUACCAUAGCCUUUUCUCUUUCCCCCCUUUAUCUACUCUCUUUUUAUUUAACCAGCCAUUUUGGUCUCUUAUACUUAUUGCCCAUCCUUAAGUUUUCUACUUUAGGCAUCUUUUCUUUGCUUGGUCCAAGAGGAAGGGAACCUAUUCUAUUUGAGGGUGGAGUUAAUACAUUUGAUUUCACAUUGUUUCAGCAUUGGCAGCAUAGGCUCUUGCCCUCAUGGCAGGGCUUGGCACCGGAGCGCCUAUUGUGAAGGUGUAUCAUGAGAAAUCUAUGAUCUUACCUGAUGUUUCAAGGGUGCUCACAUGCCUCUAUGAGAAGGAUGUCAAGUUUGAGCCUUGCACAACCUCUUACAAGAGCCUACUUAGACUCCAGGCAUCAACCCAUGCUCCAGUUCCAUUCUAUGAUGGACCUACAUUUCUGGAAGAAUCCAGAGAAAUCUGCCGCUACAUUGCAGAAACUUAUGAACAUCAUGGGUAUCCAUUUCUCCUUGGGAAGGAUGCCCUCGAGAGGGCUUCCAUCGAGCAAUGGCUCCACCAUGAGGAGCAUGCUUUCAACCCUCCAAGCCGAGCCUUAUUCUGCCACCUGGCCUUUCCCUUGGAUCAAGAAGAUGAUCUAGAGAUGCAGAAGGCAAAGCUGGAUGAGGUUCUGGAAGUUUAUGAGCAAAGGCUCAGUGAUAGUGAAUUCCUUGCCGGCAAUAAAUUUACUCUUGCAGACCUCGUACACCUGCCAAACUCCCACUACAUCAAAGCAUCUGGCAAGUUUGCCUACCUCUAUGACUCAAGGAAGAAUGUGCAGAGGUGGUGGAAUGCUAUUUCUACCCGGCAUUCUUGGGAUCAGGUACUGAGUUAUAUGACAAAGGUGGAGCAGGACAACAAAUUAGAGGAACUUGAGAAACAGAAGCAGCAGGAGUGGCAGAGAGAGUAUCAUACAGCCACUGGACGCAGAACUCGACUGUACUCACGGAAGCAUACCCGCACAAAGUCUCAGACAAUAUUGGUUCCUCCUCCUGAUACUGUCUCAGCGUCUCCCACGGCUCCUCAGGGAGAGCAGCCUCCUCCUGCUGAUUCUUUAUCUGAGAAGGCAUCAGUAUUCUCAAGCCAAAGUACUACUCAUAAAUCUAUAGCUUCCCCAAGCAAAAAAAAUACCUCAUCUACCCCAAGCUUGGGUAACUUCCCUAGCACAGCUGAUAAACCUCCAAGAAUUCAUGCUGAUAUGUCUAGCAUUAGAGAUGUCUCAGUCCCCCCUGACACCACUGAGACAGAGCACCCCACUAGAUCCAUGCUAAGUUCAUCCAAGGAAGUAGGAACCUAUAUUGAACCUACCCCACAAAAGCCUCCAGCAUCGCUGGAUAAUUUCUCUGAAUCUGAUGGGCCUAUCAGUGGUGCUAGUCAUUCUCAAAUCAGUCCAAGAACAGCCAAAGAAGAUUCUGACCGACUCCAUGCAUCUGAUUUGUAUAGAAGUGACAGAAAAUCUACUGGUCACAGUUAUGAAGCUACUUAUGGCAAAUCUCCCACCCGGGGAGCUACAGACAGUUCUCCCAACAAGCUCCACUCUACUGAAGCACACCAGAUGCUGCAGGCUGAGAAGUGGCACGCUGUUCAAGCUGGAUUGCGCAAUCUACAGGGAGAUAUUGAUAAUUCAGUGCCUAGUCGACAAGUAAAACCAAGCAAAGAAGUGCAACAGUAUCCAUCACAAGAUUCAGAGCAAGUAAGCAUCCGUCCUGUUGCUCAAGAACCAUUGAGUAUGGACGGCCAACUGGUUCAAGGGCCAGAAGGUACAGCUCAAACACCCCAUACUGAUCAGACAAUGGGUGUUUCUUCUCCGCAUUGGCAACAUGCUGCUGAUGCUAGAAGAAUUUCUGAGGAUGAGGCAUCAUCUGAUCGAAGGAUAAAAGGUGCUCAUUGGUCAAAGCAUGCAGCAGAUGAAGAUGCCCAAGCUAUACCAUUCCAAACAGCACGCGAUGAUUCUCAAGAUACCACCCAGAGAGCAAGAGAAACUGAUUCUGUGACAAGGAGUACAAGGGAUCAAGAUGCACAUGAUAGCAGACAAGGAAUAAUGACUUAUGACUCUGCACCAUCUAGAUUGCAACCUAUGGAUGCUUCACACGAUGCUCCUCUGCCAUCAAAGAAAUCAACAUCUCAAACUCCUUACACAGCCGCACAUAUUCCUACAGGGUACCAAGGUGCUCAAGAGUUCAUCCAGCAAGGUAGGGAGAGACCUAAACCAAGGUCAGUAGUGCCUUAUGAUGCCCAAGGCAGCACUGAAGAAGAAAAAAUGGCUGAAUCUCCACCAUCCAAAGCACAAAUAUUGGGUUCUCGUGGACUCGAUGUUUCUCCACCAAAAGAAGUGUUGAAUGAAGAUGGUUAUGGUGCAACUGGUCCAUUGCAAACAAGAUAUGGAGAUGAUCAAGAUGAUUGGAUUCAAGCUAGAGAUAGCACCACUCCAAGGCAUAUGAAUCAAGAUGCCAUUGAAGAAACAGAGAUGGCUGAUUCUGAACCAUCCAAAGCACGAACAUUAGAUUCUCAACAAGCUUUUCCACAAAAGCAACCACCAGCUGAAGAUCUACGAUUUGCUGCUUCAACAUCCAAUAGAAGAUAUUUUGAUGAUCAAGAUAGCACCAAGAAAUCUAAACACACUGCUUCAAUUCCAAGGCGAAUGGAGGCUCAAGGCAGCUUAGAAGAAACUAAGGCUGGCGAAUCUGGAUUGCCUAGAGAACAACCAUUUUUGCAAGCACAAGCUAAAGAUGCUCGCAGCCUGACUCCACCAUCACAAGAGGGAUAUGCAGGCCCUCAAGCUGUUAGCAAGCAACGUGGAGACCCUGGUUCUAUAUCAAGGCGAAUAAGAGCCCAAGAUGCUAGAGUCACAUUUGUAGAAUCAAAAGCUGAUGAUUCCACAUUUACCAGAGAGCAGCCUUCGGAUGCUUGGCAAGCUACGGGUCCUCUCCCAGAGCACAAAGUAUAUGAUGCUCAAAGCUCAACCUCACCAUUUCAGGACGCCACCAUGAAAUCAGAAGACACCACUCCACAACAGAGGAGAGGUCAAGGUGCCAAAGAAACGAAGUUGUCUGAUUCUGCAUCGCUACAAGUUCAGCCCUCGGAUUAUCAGAGAAGUGAUUCUCAUUUUCAAAAUCAAGAAGAAAUUGAAGAUCCACAUGGUGCAAUUUCACCACACAAGAGAAGCUACACUGAUGUUGAAGAUAUGACCAAACAUCCUGGAGACAAAAUACUGGGUGAGGAUGCUCAAGAUGUCUCUGAAGAAACAAAGGCUCUUGACUCUACAAUAGUUAGAGGCAGAGCACAUCCCCAGGAUACUCAUCAAGCUGCAAUUCCUCCACGAAGGCAAGCAGCAACCAAAGAUGCUCUGGGUGUGACUCCACAUUUCCCAACAAGAUACCCAACUGCAGAAGACACCAGCAGGCAACUCAGAAGAACUGCUUCUACACCAACAGAGAAAGCUGUUCAAGAUGGUAGAGAUGCCUUCAGAGAAUGGAAGAGUGUUGAUUCCACAUCAUCCAGAGAACAACCUUCAGAUGUUCAGCGAGCUGAGGCUUCCUUCCCAAAGCAAGAAGAAGCUGAUUCUCAUAGCACAACUGUGCCAUUCCAAAGGAGGUACCCCGAUAUUGAAGACACAACCAAAGAACCAAUCGAUAAGCCAAAGGAAAUGGUGGGCGAGGAUGCUCAAGCUGGCUUUGAAGAAACAAAGGCUCUUGACGCUGCGACAGAACCCCGAGAUACUCCGCGAGCUGCAAUUACUCCAUCGAAGCAAGUAAUAGCGAAGGAUGCUCUCAGUGUGACUCCACUUCCCCCAACAAGAUAUCCAACAGCAGAAGACACCAGCAGGCAGCCCAAAAGAACUGGUUCUACACCAACAGAGAAAGCAGUUCAAGAUGGUAGAGAUGCCUUUAGAGAAUCUAAGAGUGUUGAUUCCACAUCAUCGACACAACAACCUUCAGGUUAUCGGCGAGCUGCUGCUUCCCUCCCAAAGCAAGAAGCAGCUGAUUCUCGUAGCACACCUUUGCCCUUCCAAAGGAGGUACCCUGAUGUGGAACACACCACCAAAGAACCAAGAGAUAAGCCAAAAGAAUCAGUGGGCGAGGAUGCCCAAGAUGGCUUUGAUGAAACAAAGGCUCUUGACUCUGCUAUAAUUAGAGGCAGAGCCCAACCACAAGAGACUCCAAGAGCUGCGAUUACUCCAUCGAAGCAGGAAGCAGCCAAAGAUGCUCUCAGUGGGACUCCACUUUCCCCAACAAGAUAUCAAACUGCAGAGGAAACGGUGGGUGAGGAUAGUCAAGAUGGCUUUGAAGAAACAAAAGCUUUUGACUCUGCUAUAUUUAGAGGCAGAGCACAACCGCAAGAUACUCGUCGAUCUGCAAUUACUCCACCAAAGCUGGAAGAGGCCAAAGAUGCUCUAGGUGCAACUCCACAUCCCCCAACAAGAUAUCCAACUGCAGAGGACACCAGCAGGCAACCCACAAGAACUGCUUCUACACCAAUAGAGAAAGCAGUUCCAGAUGGUAGAGAUGCCUUCAGAGAAUUGAAGAUUGUUGAUUCCACAUCAUCCAGAGAGCAACCUUCUGAUGUUCGGCGAGCUGCUGCUUCCCUUCGAAAGCAAGAAGCAGCUGACUCUCAUAGCACAACUGUGCCAUUCCAAAGGAGGUAUCCUGAUAUUGAAGACACCACCAAAGAACCAAGAGAUAAGCCGAAGGAAAAGGUGAGUGAGGAGGCUCAAGAUGGCUUUGAAGAAACAAAGGAUCUUGACUCUUCGAUACUUAGAGGCAGAGCACAAUCCCAAGGUACUCAGCGAGCUGCAAUUACUCCACCGAAGCUGGAUGCAGCCAAAGAUGCUCCCGGUGCGACUCCACUUCCCCCAACAAGAUAUCCAACUGGAGAAGAUGCCAGCAGGCAACCUAGAAGAACUGCUUCUACACCAACCGAGAAAGCAGUUCGCGGUGGCAGAGAUGACUUUACAGAAUCUAAGAGUGUUGAUUCCACACCAUCCAGAGAGCAACCUUCAGAUGUUCGGCGAGCUGCUGCUUCCCUCCCAAAGCAAGAAGCAGCUGAUUCUCGUAGCACACCUUUGCCAUUCCAAAGGAGGUACCCUGAUGUGGAACACACCACCAAAGAACCAAGAGAUAAGCCAAAGGAAUCGGUGGGCGAGGAUGCCCAAGAUAGCUUUGAAGAAACAAAGGCUCUUGACUCUUCGAUGUUUAGAGGCAGAGCACAACCGCAAGAUACUCGUCCAUCUGCAAUUACUCCAUCAAAGCUGGAAGAUGUCAGAGAUGCUCUAGGUGCAACCCCACUUCCCCCGAGAAGAUAUCCAACUGCAGAGGACACCAGCAGGCAACCCACAAGAACUGCUUCUACACCAAUAGAGAAAGCAGUUCCAGAUGGUAGAGAUGCCAUCAGAGAAUUGAAGAUUGUUGAUUCCACAUCAUCCAGAGAGCAACCUUCAGAUGUUCGGCGAGCUCCUGCUUCCCUUCCAAAGCAAGAAGCAGCUGAUUCUUAUAGCACAACAGUGCCAUUCCAAAGGAGCUAUCCUGAUAAUGAAGACACCAAAGAACCAAGAGAUAAGCCAAAGGAAAAGGUGAGCGGGGAGGCUCAAGAUGGCUUUGAUGAAACAAAGGCUCUUGACUCUUCGAUACUUAGAGGCAGAGCACAACCCCAAGAUACUCAGCGAGCUGCAAUUACUCCACCGAAGCUGGAUGCAGCCAAAGAUGCUCCCGGUGCGACUCCACUUCCCCCAACAAGAUAUCCAACUGGAGAAGAUGCCAGCAGGCAACCUAGAAGAACUGCUUCUACACCAACCGAGAAAGCAGUUCGCGGUGGCAGAGAUGACUCUACAGAAUCUAGGAGUGUUGAUUCCACACCAUCCAGAGAGCAACCUUCAGAUGUUCGGCGAGCUGCUGCUUCCCUCCCAAAGCAAGAAGCAGCUGAUUCUCGUAGCACACCUUUGCCAUUCCAAAGGAGGUACCCUGAUACUAGAGACACCACAAAAGAAUCAAGAGAUAAGCUAAAGGAAGCGGUGGGCGAGGAUGGUCAAGAUGGCUUUGAAGAAACAAAAGCUCUUGACUCUGCUAUAAUUGGAGGCAGAGCCCAACCACAAGAGACUCCAAGAGCUGCGGUUACUCCAUCAAAGCUGGAAGGAGCCAAAGAUGCUCUAGGUGUGACUCCAAUUGCCCCAACAAGGUAUCCAACUGCAGAAGACACGAGCAAGCAAUCCACAAGAACUGCUUCUACACCUUCAGAGAAAGCAGUUCCAUAUGGUAGAGAUGCCUUCAUAGAAUCGAAGAGUGUUGAUUCCACAUCAUCCAGAGAGCAACCUUCAGAUGUUCGGCGAGCUGCUGCUUCCCUGCCAAAGCAAGAAGCUGCUGAUUCUCGUAGCACAACUAUGCCAUUCCAAAGGAGGUACCGUGAUAUUGAAGACACCACCAAAGAACCAAGAGAACCAAGAGAUAAGCCAAAGGAAACAGUGGGUCAAGAUGUCCAAGACACCUAUGAAGAAAGAGUAACUACUGACUCUGUGCUGUUUACCAAACAACCUUCUGAUAUGCCCCGAGCUGCAAUCACUCCAUCAAAGAAAGCAGCAAAUGAUGAUGCUCCUAGUGUGUCUCCACCUUUGCCUACAAGAUAUCCAAGUGCUGAAGACACCAGCAAGCAAUCUAUAAGACCUCAAGAUAGUAGGGAUGUCUUUAGAGAACAAAAGGCUGUUGACUCCACAUCAUCCCCUGGACCCUCAGAUUCUCUCAGGGCUUCUGCUUCCCUCCCAAACCAAGAAGUAGAUGGUACUCGCAGAACUACUGUACCAUUUCAAAAGAGAGAGCCUGAACUUCAAAACAGCACAAAGCCUGUUAACGACAGCAUUUCUACGUCAUGGGAAAUGACAGCUCAAGAUACUCAAGACACCUUUGAAGAAACAAAGGUUCCUGAUUCUGCAGCAUUCAGUAUGCCUGAAGUGGAUUCUCAGAGAACUGAUGCAGAGGCUCAAGCAGAAGCUCAAGAUACUCGGGAUGGAGGCAGCCGAAGCAGAUGGUGGCAUGCAUCUAAGACAUUACCAGAUGGAACUCCUAUUUCUGGCGAUGAUGUGACUGGAUUGUCUCCUGGUGAUCAAAUGCCAACACGGAUGGAUCAAGAUGCAAUUCCAAGCACUCAGAUUGCCAAUGGGAUCACCGAAAGAUCUAUUAAGCAAACUGCUGAACCACCUGCACCAGUAGCACCACAAACAAUUUUUCAUCAGCAAGCCAGACCAUCUGCACCAAUCACAAAAGAAGUUCAAGCCUCAGAUAACCAAGGUGCCAUAAGCAAAAUCCAGCAAGUUUCUCCUGAUAAUCAUCCAACUGAUUAUUCAGCCGUACCACGUGUUGCAGCUCAAGAACAAGUUUCCCACGCACCACAGACAAGUCCUGGUCGAGAAGGCAUAACGCCUGCGCAAAGAGAAAUGGAUUCUCCAAUUUCAGAUGCCCUACCUGCUUCAGCAAAAGUUCAAGAACCUGCCCCUGACAAGUCAACAAUGCCAUUUGUCUCGAGUGUAAAACAAGGUUCUCAUGUUGGACAUGAUGUUGAACCACAUGAAGGGCCACUACCCGAUACUUAUGGUGCUGUAGUUGACAAAGAGACAACUAAAUCUCUAUCUUGGCAAGAUCGGAGUUUGGAAGCUAGUCCUGAUUCAACACCAACCCAUGGCUAUGUUCAUCCUACAAGCAGGGAUGAACCUGCCAUUUUACCUGGUCAGGGGGCACCCCAAGAACCAACACAUCCUGAUGCUCUAGAUUCUGCAUCCACCCGAGACGUAACUGCUGAUUCCUUGGUUGGUCCUAAGAAAUUCAAGCAACGUUCAACUGAUCAAGAGGACAUUUCAUUUGCAUCUAACCAAACAUCAGGUAUGGGCGCUCAACCUUAUUCUUCACUGGAUAAAGUAGCCCGUGCUGAACAGAAAUCUGACCUGUCAGAUCAAGAUCCAAGUCAUUCUGCACAAGAGACUGUUCUUGCUGCUGCCGAACGGACCAAGGCACUGCCAAAACCCAUUGAUCAACAAGAGACACCGGACAGUAGAAAGCCUCCAACACCAGAUACCCAAUAUGCUUCGCAGAUAAUCCCAAGUCAGGAGAAAGUUGCUCCUGAUGUUCCAAGCCAAGAGAAAGUUUCCCAGGCUGAACUGUCUUUGAAACCACAUGAAGGAUCAACUCCUCAUAUGCAUGGCAGCAUUGUUGAUGAAAAGAAAACUAGACCUUUGGCUAGCCCAACUAAAAGUUCAAAUGAUGUGCUUGAUCUGACACCAGCAGGUGCUGAUGUUCAUCCUACAAGUAGCACUGAGCCUCCCAGAAGUGCUUUACCAGUUCAAGCACAAACACCAUCUGCUACCCAAACACCUCCACCUUUUGCAUCUCACAAAUCUGUGCGUACUGAAGAUAUACGUGCUGACGCCAAUGGCAAAGUUAAAUCCGUGAAGCCAUCAGCAUCUCCAGAUGCUCCACAUGCUACCGCACCUGGUGAAGUAGCUCUUUCUGAACAGAAAUUAGCUUCAGCAGGUCGAGAUUCGUCUCGUGCUGCACAAUUGCCUUCAUCUGAUGAGCCAAGGAAUGAACAGAUUAAGGAUUCAGAUCACACUGCACAGCCAUUUUCGUCUGCUGCACCUGAUCAAGCCAAAGACUUGCAAAGAACUUUUGGUCAACCAGACAUUUCACGUGCACCAGGAACAUCAGAAUCUCCAUAUUCAGAUGUAUAUGAUGGUGCAAGGAAAGUUGAUCCUGAUUAUCAACUCAUUGACAAAACAAUUCCAAGCCAAGAACAAGUCUCUCAUCCAGAUCUUGCUUCCAAAACAAAUGAAGGACCAACAGAAACUCCUGGACCAGCCCCUCUCAUGGAUGUAUAUGACUCCAUAUCCACCCAAUAUAUACAGGACGGUGACUUAGACAAAGAUCAAGAUUCUGCUAAUUUUGCACAGAAGUAUUCGUCAAGUGAGCCAAAAGAAGAAGAGAGUACUGUUGCUGCACCUGAUCAAACCAAGGAAAUACAAACAACAGUUGGUCAACAGGACAUAUUGCCUGCUGUAAGCAAAGAAAAAGAUCCAUCUUCCGGCGUCCAAUAUGAUUCUAUGGAAGUUCAGGAAGUCGCUCCGAAGGAUCAACACAUCGAUGGGUCAAUUCCAAGCCAUGAACAAGCUCCUAAUGUUGAAGAACCCAUGACACAUAUAACAGGCCCAACAUCAGCCCUAGACACUCAACAUGGUAUGACAUCUGAUCAAGACUCGUACCAGUACCCAGAACUACCUUCCUCUGCUAAAUCAAGGAAAGAGACAGAUGUUGCUGAAGCUGAUAAAACCAAGGCAAAACAAAUGACCUUUGGUCAGCCUGUACCAGUCCCAAGUGACGCUACAAGAUCUGUAACUGAUCAAGGGGCACAGCAACCGCAGCGACCUGCAAAAAUUGAGUCACCACCAUUUUUGGAGACAAUAAAGAACUACGAGUACACCCAAAAUGUAUCUGAUGAGACCUUGGACAAAAACAAGUCAUCCGGAAAACCCUCUGCUGAUCAAGAAGUUAUGUCACCUAAAGUAGUCCCAGCAACAUUUCUAGACCCUCAACGUGUUACUGUCCCAGAUGAUGAGCAAAAAAUUGCUAAGCCAGAUUUAACUCGUUCUGCACAACCUCCUUUCUCUGCUGAGCCAACAAAAAGAAAGACUGUUGUUGGUGCAUCUGAUCAAGCCAAGGCUUCAGAAACAAUUGUUGAUCGAGAAGGCCAAGAACAUGGUUCUUUUAGUGAGGGGUCAACUACUGACUCACGUGAUGCCAUUACUGAUGAGAGCGCAACCACAUCUACAUCUGGUAGCGAAAAAGUCUUGGAUGCUUCUAUUUUGACAGCAACUCAUGAUGAUGCUCAUCCGCCAACUGUAAGAAAUUUGCCUGAGCAUGAGACACAGGCACCUGCAUCAACUCAAAGUGCAUCUGUCGAGGCCUCAGACAAAGCUAAAUCAACUGAUCAAGAAGACAUGAAACCUAUGGCAAGCCAGGCAUCAAUUCUGGACACUCAACGUGGUACCAAUGGUGAUAAGCCUAUAGCAAGAUUUUUGCAUGAUCAAGGGGCACAGUCACCUGAAUUAACUCAUCCACAGCAGCCUCCUGAAUCUCCACCUCACUCUGCAUCACAACAUGAUGCGCCCACUGAUGUGUUGGACAAAACCAAAAUGACUAAACUGACCUCAACUAACCAAGAAGGCAUGGCACCCACUGCUGGUUCAAGAUCAACUUUGGAAUCCCAACCUGAUGGUACCUUCGCAGCUGAAGUAGUCCAUGACGAGCAGAAAUCCACUCUGUCAGAUCAAGAGUCAGCUCGUGCCACACAGCCCCUUUCAUCUGUUGAACGAAGCAAAGAAGAUACUAAUGUUUCUGCAGCUGAUCAACCCGAGGUUCCACAAACAAUUUUUCAUCAAAAAGCCAGAUCAUCUGUACCAGUCACUAGAGAAGUACAAUUCCCGGAUAGUCUAGGUGCCAUAAGCAAAAUCCAGGAAGUCUCUCCUGAUAAUCAAUCAACUGAUUAUUCAGCAGUACAACCUGUUCCAACUAAAGAACAAGUACUCCAUGCACCACAGACAAGUCCUGACCAAGAAGGCAUAACACCUGCACAAGGAGAAAAGGAUUCUCCUAUCCCAGAUGCCCAACUUGUUCCACAUGCUCUACAAGACAAAGGUUCACCUCGCUCUACACAACCGCCUCCCCCUAUUGAAUCAAGUGAAAAGGAGUCUCAAAUUGCUGAAGAUGGUCAAACCGUUUUACUACAAUCAUCCGUUGUUCAAGAAUCCACACCAUCUUUAGCAGGCCCUAGAGAAUCAUCAAGUUCGGAUUCUCCGUAUCCAUCAGCGGAAAAUCAAGUAUCAACCCCUAAGGAGGUGGAACCACUUCCUCCUACGACAGGUAUGAUGGAUCGCGUCCAGCCUUCUUCGGAAGCAACACCUGGAGUAGUCGCUGGCAUCUCAGCGACACCUGGUGACAACCAACCGUCACCAGACAGGGAAAGCGUGGAAGUAGCUGAAGAAGGCACGGACCAACAAAAGGCUGACCAAGCUAGUGUGCAAUCACCACAGGACAACAUGGGCCAAGUUAAAGAAACCGAGGAGCAGGACACUGGAACAGGUGAGACUUACCAAGCUACUGUGCAAUCACCACAGGACAUCAAGGAGCAACGCGACGAAACAGAGCAGCAGGACACUAGGACUGGUGAGGCUUACCAAGAUGCACCAGCCCCAGAUGCUCCACAAGACAAAGGUUCACCUCGCUCUACACAACCGCCUCCCCCUGUUGAAUCCAGUCAAAAAGAGUCUAAAAUUGCCGAAGAUAGUCAAACCCUUUUACCGCAAGCAUCCGCUGUUCAAGAAUCCACACCAUCUUCAGCAGGCCCUAGAGAGUUCACACCAUAUCCAUCAGUGGAAGAUCAAGGAUCAGCCCCUAAGGCGGAGGAACCGCUUCCUCCUACGACAGGUAUGAUGGAUCGCGUCCAGCCUUCUUCGGAAGCAACACCUGGAGUAGUCGCUGGCAUCUCAGCGACACCUGGUGAUAACCAACCGUCACCAGCCAGGGAAAGCGCGGAAGUAGCUAAAGAAGGCACGGGCCAACAAAAGGCUGACCAAGCUAGUGUGCAAUCACCACAGGACAACAUGGGCCAAGUUAAAGAAACCGAGGAGCAGGAUACUGGAACAGGUGAGACUUACCAAGCUUCUGUGCAAUCACCACAGGACAUCAAGGAGCAACGCGACGAAACAGAGCAGCAGGACACUAGGACUGGUGAGGCUUACCAAGAUGCACCAGCCCCAGAUGCUCCACAAGACAAAGGUUCACCUCGCUCUACACAACCGCCUCCCCCUGUUGAAUCCAGUCAAAAAGAGUCUAAAAUUGCCGAAGAUAGUCAAACCCUUUUACCGCAAGCAUCCGCUGUUCAAGAAUCCACACCAUCUUCAGCAGGCCCUAGAGAGUCCACACCAUAUCCUUCAGUGGAAGAUCAAGGAUCAGCCCCUAAGGCGGAGGAACCGCUUCCUCCUACGACAGGUAUGAUGGAUCGCGUCCAGCCUUCUUCGGAAGCAACACCUGGAGUAGUCGCUGGCAUCUCAGCGACACCUGGUGAUAACCAACCGUCACCAGCCAGGGAAAGCGCGGAAGUAGCUAAAGAAGGCACGGACCAACAAAAGGCUGACCAAGCUAGUGUGCAAUCACCACAGGACAACAUGGACCAAGUUAAAGAAACCGAGGAGCAGGACACUGGAACAGGUGAGACUUACCAAGCUUCUGUGCAAUCACCACAGGACAUCAAGGAGCAACGUGACGAAACAGAGCAGCAGGACACUAGGACUGGUGAGGCUUACCAAGAUGCACCAGCCCCAGAUGCUCCACAAGACAAAGGUUUACCUCGCUCUACACAACCGCCUCCCCCUAUUGAAUCCAGUCAAAAGGAGUCCGAAAUUGCCGAAGAUAGUCAAACCCUUUUACCGCAAGCAUCCGCUGUUCAAGAAUCCACACCAUCUUCAGCAAGCCCUAGAGACUCAUUAAGUUUGGAUUCUUCGUAUUCUUUGAUGGAAAAUCGAGGAUCUGUUCCUAACGUGGGAAAACCGCUUCCUCCUUCGACAGAUAUGAUGGAUCGUGUUCAGCCUUCAUUGGGACCUUCUCUUGAGGUUUCAAGCGACGAGAAAACCACUGUCCCUCUGGAUGGUCUGGCGAACAACCUAUCAAAUGUCAGUCCCUCUGUCACAGCUAGCCAAGUACUUGGUCGAUCUGAAAAUGGUUCUGGUACUGGAGCGCUCUCUGGAGAAACGGUACCAUCAAAUUCUCAAGAAAAUUCUGAAGGGACGCCAAGCGAAGAAAUAUCAAAGCAGCAACCGCAAACUAACAUGUCCAGUACAAAAUUAUCUAAAGAUGACAAUAAAGAAGCCGAUGGCUCAGCCAAUGACACCAAACCUGGAGACAGUGAAGAUAAUCCAUCUCGAUGAAUUUUGCAACCCGUCAACCUACCCAAGAUUCUGGAGUGCACUAUUAAAUAAAUAUUUAUCAACUGAAACCAAAACUGGGAGAAGCUUCAUUGGAAGGAACAGAGGCACAGAGCAGCCAGUGAGACACAGAACUGCACCAGUAGUUUCAGUUCCAGGAUCAGCUUGCCCACAGGGAAGUAGUAGUACAUCUGAUUGACAUAAUACACAUAUUUAUAAGUUGGUAAUUAGGGUGGUUGUUCUGGUGUCCAUCAUGGUUAAGCUAAUUAAAUACUGUAGCUGUUCUUCUUGUCAGCUGUCAACUGCUUCAGUAAGUACACACUGCUCUGCGUGCCCAAAAGACCUUAUCAUUCAGCUGAUCAUCCAGCCAUUGUUGACGGCGCAAGCUUGAGCCUCUCGUUGUACUCCUGCAUCUCCCUCUUGUACCUCUCCUUGUCCUCUGCACUGUGCCUGUAGUAAACCUGGCAACAAUGGCGAUGCAUCAAGAUUCAGGAGUUGAGUGAUUGAGGAUGUGUUUA